rfam:Stegodyphus mimosarum contig115110, whole genome shotgun sequence.
GCCUUCGUGGUGUAACGGUUAACACACUUGGCGCGUAUUCGAGAGGUCCAAGUUCGAGUCCCGGCGAGGGCA